rnacentral:rRNA from 1 species
GGCCGCAGUAUUUUAACUGUGCAAAGGUAGCAUAAUCAUUAGUCUUUUAAUUGAAGGCUGGAAUGAAUGGUUGGAUGAAAUAUUAACUGUUUCAUAAAAAUUUUUAGUAAAAUUUUAUUUUUUAGUAAAAAAGCUAAAAUUUAUUUAAAAGACGAGAAGACCCUAUAAAUCUUUAUAUUUAAUUUAUUAUAAAUUUUUAGAAAUUUUUAUUUAUUAUAAAUAGUAAUAUUUUAUUGGGGUGAUAUUAAAAUUUAAUUAACUUUUAUUUAUUGUAACAUUAAUUUAUGAUUAAUUGAUCCGUUAUUAACGAUUAAAAAUUUAAGUUACUUUAGGGAUAACAGCGUAAUUUUUUUGGAGAGUUCAUAUCGAUAAAAAGGAUUGCGACCUCGAUGUUGGAUU